AGCGUCCAGUGUGGAUACUGACAGCAUCGGCUGGGCUUUUCUCUUCAUCUUUAAGGGGUUUUUUUUUCUACCUACUCUUCAUGGGAUUAAAACUGUUCAGAUUUUGUUAUUUUGAAUGAAAAACUGGAGCGGAGUUUAAAUGAAGUCCAGACUUGUGCUGUAACCAGAGUUUCUCCUACAGGGCAGCUGCCUGGCUUCCACUUGAGGAGUAAAGAUGAGAAGUUUGCUAUUUGUCAUCUUGUGUCUUUUGACCUUUUCUCCCAUGUCCCUCACACAGGAGCUGCCCUUUGCCCAUGUUGAUCCACCUCGCAGGAUAAACAGUGGAAGUGCUCGCUGUCUCUGUUCCCAUGAGCCUCCUCUGACUAAAAGCAGACUGGGCCGUCAAAAUGUCUACAUCACCCAAAACAAAUGUGAAGGUUUAAUUAUCAAACUGAUUAACACCAAAUACACAAAAACCCUUUCACCUAACAGAGAUUCUUGAGCAGUCCUGCUUCUCUCAGGUCUACCUCUUGUCUGGAAGAGAUUCGGUGCCUCUCUUCCUUAAGGCCACUUCAGAAAGAUGGAUGGAUCUCAAACUGAAUUGUUAGCUUUAAUUUGACUAUAAUUGCAGCUCGCUGAUUUUCACACUGAAAUUCAAAUGUUCCCUUAAUCCGUUAUUACAAUGAAUACUAAAAAGGUCAAGUUGUUUUUUUGUUGGUUUGUUUGUUUGUUUGUUUUUAUCCUAGCCCUGUAAUAUGAUAUUUCAUAUAAUUUCUAAGAAAUUCUAUUAAAACAAUUAAUGGAUUUCUUAUUUGGCAGUUUAACAACAAUUCUGAUAAUCACUUGGCAGGCAAAAAUCCAAAUUUUCUCUUUCCAAUUUCUAAAAAAUGAAGAUUUACUUCUUUUUUUUUUUUAAAAAAGCAGCUGGAAGCAAUUUGACAUCACCUCGGGCACUGGGGAAUUAUUAUGGUAUUUUUUAAUACUGGGGGAGAUUUUACAGGCUGAACCAUUAAUACAUUAACAAACAGUUAAUAUAUUUAUCAAAAUAUUAUGUGUGUGGGUGUUAGAUGGAGGUUUGCAGAGGAGGGAGAUAACCCAAACAAAUUAAACCCAUCUUAGAGUUAACCCAGAAAAUGUAAAGGGUUAAUGAGAGGUGAGGCGGUUAAGCCAAUAUUUGUUCUAUCCCCUAAUUUGUUUGUUGUUGUGUGCAUGUUUUCUGCAGACUCAGUGCACCACAGGACUGUAGGGACUGUAGGGUGUGAACAGGCUCAUUUAAAACAUCUGUCUGAACACUCUGGAUUCCCCACACAAACCCAGUUACAGCCAUGAUGCUAAUUUCUGAUCAGACUAGUGAAACUUUCUUUUAACUUUUACUUAGUUAGCACUCCAGGUCAUCUGCAUGUAUCUGGUCUGAUAUUAUUUGGCAGAACAGGAGGUACCGGAUCCCUGGGUU
rnacentral:lncRNA from 1 species